UCUCUCAAAACCGGAUAUCUAUUUUGAAAGCUUAUUAUAUUUUUAUGGUUAAUCUCGCCAUUUCCAGAUGUUCGGUUUCGGAAAAACAUAGAUCUGAUAUUAACAAAAUAUAUUUUUCAACUUGCUCGAUAUACAAGAAAGUGUUUAUUUUCCGCCAUUUUACCUAGCCGCUACAUUGAGCAAACCGUUCAAGAUCGCUAGCUAUCUAACACGCAGCCCCUAGGCUAGCCGCUACGAUCUUGAACGCAGCCAGGUUCUCUCCGUCCAGACAUCCGGGGAUCACGUGUAGGUUAGCGCCAUUAUUUAUAUGUGUGUGUAUAGGACGAAAUACUUAUUAGACUAAUUUGGUACCUUGUCUCCUAGACCAGACAAUGGACUCCCAACACAGUGCCCAGGACGUGCUGCGCUGUGACCUAUGUGACACUCCUGUACCCCCGAUGUACUGCGACCUUUGUGAGGUCAAACUCUGCAAGGCCUGUGUUGGAGAGCACCUUUUCGAUUUAUCCAAAGAGCAUAAAGUUGUGCCAUUUGAACCAAGGCUCUCCACUAUGAAAUACCCUAAAUGUUCAAAGCAUGACAGGAUCUGCGAGCUCAACUGCGAGAAAUGCAAUGUUCCUGUCUGUGUUGGCUGUCUGUCGUCAAAUUCCCACAAGGGACACGCCUUGCUGAACGUUCUAGAAGUCCUGAUGUCUAAAAGAGAGAAUAUGGAAACGGAUAGAAAGGAGUUGGAAGACGAUGUUGUUCCCAAAUUUGAACAAAUUCUCUCGGAAUUAUCUGACGUCAGAAAAUCCUCGUUGGAAGAUUGUAGGAGACUGACAACAGCUGUCAUCAAACAAGGCGAAAUCUGGCACCGAGAAAUAGACAACAUUGUCAACCAGCCGAAAUUGAGAAGAUGAUAAAUGAGCAGAUGAACAUCUUAGAAAAACAUGAGGCAGAAGUCAGAGCACUUAUUUCUCAAACAAAACAGAGUGCUCUUGAUCUGAAAAAAUCGCUCAUGUCCAAAGACGCCUCUCUCUCCUUUUCAUACGAAUAAAAAAACACACAGUUCGAUACAUGGUGCAAACUUCCAAUCGUGAAAAUGUCCUUGCCAACAUUUUCACCCCCACAUAUGAACACAGAGAAGCUACGAAAACUGUUUGGUUCCCUGAGAGGUGAACGUUUCAUAUACAUGUAUCUUCUCCCGAACUUAUUCCCCAUCCUAUGUAAUCUGUAUAGACCAUCAACAUUUCUGCACGGAAUCAAAACCAUAUCUGAAAUAAGAAAUACAAAUGCAGUGAUGUGUAAUAUUGUCAAGUGAGAGGGGUCUUUUAUACUCGUGUCUCCAUGCAAUUUAUUAUCACACUCUAGAUGGAAAUUGAAUAUCUUAAAGAAAUACUAGCAUUUAGAUGAAAACCAAAUUUUGUCCUUAACAUGUUUUAACAUGAAAUUGAUCAAAAUCAUCAAAUUAAACACUUAAAUUUCCUUAUCUCCAGUGCCAGAUGUCUCAAGGAAUACUAGCAGGAGGGGUGCAUCAGCCACAAAAGACAGCACCAGAAGUUCUGAGGAAUAGCGCGGGUGCACCAGCCAAGAAAGACUAUACGGGGAAAUAUUACUGCGGUAGGAAGGUACUGAGAUGUCGAUGUUGUGAUGGAUACUGUGGACCAGACAACAGCUGUAACUGUGAACCUUGUCAGGAACUGGCCUUAAAAGAACAAUUGAGAGCGAUGCUUGGUGUUUUCCGUUAGAAAUGAAAAAGCGCUGAAUUCAAAUUACUACUGAACGGAGAGCAUCAUUGCGAGGGGAGGGCCUCCAGACCUUGUUACCAUGGAUAUUGUUGACCGAGGAUGAUUUUAAAAUGUUGACAUUAAACGAAGUGUUUUGCUUUUUAGAUCGCCUGAGUAAACUCAGGUGACCUAUUUUACUCAGGUGACCUAUUGCAAUUGGUUUUCGUCCGUCGUCAUCCGUCGUGCGUUAACAAAUGAACAUUUUUAACUUCUUCUUGAUAACUACCCGUUCAAUUCUUUUAAAAGUUGGUAUGAAGCAUCAUUGGGACAAGGGGGACAUACAUUGUAAAUUUCAGGACUCCAGCACCCCUAGGGCCCUAGGGGUGGGGCAAAAACUGCCCAAAAUUGACCAAUAUUCAAAAAUCAUCUUCUCAAGAACCACACAAAUGUAAGAAAAACUAAAUGCAUAGUGAUGUAGAGCAGGAAGGCUUCUACCAAACUUGUCAAUUUCAUGAUCCCCGGGGUAGGGGUUCUGACCUUAGGGCGGGGCCGAUCUUGCUAUAUAGUGUUUAUGUGUAAAACACUUAAAUAACAUUUUCUUUAGUGCUAUUGAUACUAAAUUGAGAGUAAAUAGAUAUUUAGAAAGAACAGAUAGUCCUUUACCAAAAUUGUAAAUUUUAUGAUCACAGGGGUAGGGGUUUUGGUAUCAGGGUGCGGCCAAAAUGGUCAGUUAUUAAAUGUGUGAACAAUAGACAUUUUUAACUUCUCCUUGAUAACUAUCAUUCCAAUUCUUUUCAAAUUUGGUGUGAAACAUAUUUGGAACAAGGGGAACAUAAAUUGUAAAUUUCAGGAUUCCUGCACCCCUGGGGCCUUAGGGGUGGGGCAAAAACUGUCCAAAAAUUACCAAUUUUCAAAAAUCUUCCUCUCAAGAACUACACACAUGCAAGAAAAACUAAAUGCAUAGUAAUGUAGAGGAGGAAAGCCUCUACCAAAAUUGUUAAUUUCAUGAUUCCCGGGGUAGGGGUUCUGACCCCAGGGCGAGGCCAAACUUGUUAUAUAGUGUUUAUGUGUAAAACACUUAAAUGACAUUUUCUUUAGUGCUUUUGAUACUAAAUUGAAACUAAAUGGAUAGAGCAGGUAGUCUUUUAGCAAAAUUGUAAAUUUGAUUUUCUUCAGAGUAAGGGUUUUAACCCCAGGGUGGGGCGAAACUUAGUAUACAGUAUUUAUGUGUAAGUUUGCUGAUACUGUAUAAAAUCUAAAUGCAUACUUAGGAAUAACAGAAAAGGAUGUAUAAAAAUGGUGAAUUUCACAACCCAGGGUUAUGACUUAAGAAUGAGUCCAAAUUAGUCAUACCUUUUGAUGUUUUAAUGUUAAUACACCUAUUAUUUAAAGCCUUUCAUCAGUGUAUGCACUUUUGAGAGCAUUGAAGUUUUAAGAACACAUCUUGUUUUAUACUGUUGCUGAACAUUAGAAUUUAGCUUAGAUAUUCAGAGCAGGAAUUUUUUUUCUAGAUUUCAUAGCCCAUGAAAGUAGUGAUACUUUUUCACUAGUAUUCAGGUGACCGAUAAGGCAUGUGGGCCUCUUAUUGUACAUUAUAAAUGAUUAGAAAAUAUAUUGCAUUUUGAGAAAUUCUUGAUUUGGAGCAGUUAUUAUUUUUUUGUAUCAACAGUGUACUUUACUGUGACGGUUAUAAUGAUACACUACAGCUACUAUAAAAACAAUAUACAAUUCUAAUAUGCUGAUUAUAAAGUAUCACAAACUGUAUAAAAGUGGAAAAUACUUCUACCCUUCCCCCCUCAUUAUUAACUCCCGUGCACAAAAUGUAUUCCCAAUUUUGAUUUUAUUCAAAAAUUAGAAAUCAUGUAAACUUUUUGAUGUUGAAAAUUUUCAAAACAUCCCCAUGUUUCCUUAAGUUAAACUGGCGACAUUUGAUCUUACCCUAGUUUCUAGGUCCCAACAUCCUCUCAUCAUUUCUGAAGAUCUCGUGUCUCUAUCAGUUCAGGUUCUAAAGUUAUACAUGUUUUUAUGACCAUGGUCAAAGGUCAAGGUCGCUGGACUUAUUCGACCUUGAUACUGCUUUGUAGGUCCUAUCAUUAUCAUUUCUGCAGAUCUGAGGUCCCUAUCAGAUUUGGUUCUGAAGACAUAUCAUUCUAUUUUCUAGGUAAGAGUUUGGUGUCACUGGAGUACUAGAUUCUAUUGUCAUUUCUGUAGAUUCCGUGUCUUUAUCGGUUCUCGAGUAAUACGAGUUUUCUACGAUCAAUGUCACUGGAGUUACAUGUUUGUUAGACACAAUAUCAUUCUAUCAUAUCUAAAGAUUUCAUGUCUGCAUCGGUCCUGAUUCUAAAGUAAUACGAGUUUUUAUUAUCAAAGUCAAGGGUUAAGAUCACAGGAGUCAUUUUACCUUCCUACUUGUUUGUAUUUUCUUAUCAUUUCUGAAGAUCCAAUGUCUAUCAAUGAGGAACCGGAGUCGGUUAUCUUAUCUUGUAUUGAUAGAGGGCGCCACAGGCAAAUCCGGCCCUGAACAAAAAAAAAAGAUAAAUGUUGAGAAGAUGAGUUAUCAGCAACCAUUCUCGAAUGCGAUUUCGGGAAACACAAACACUACCUUUUACUUACGAUGGCAUCCAGAUGUGGUCAUAUGGCAAUACCUGAACUUAGGAAAGAGUUAGAAAAGUUUGGAGCAAAGAAAUCGGGAAGAAAGUGGGAACUUGUAAGAAGACUUAAUUGAAGCAUAUAGAAGAAAUGAACAUCGUGCAAGGACCGAUAUUUCUGGACCUGAAUUUAUUAUUAUGUCACCCGAUCCACAACUCUACAGGGACCUUCAUUGUGAUAAGAGCUUUUCAAAUUAAAAGGAAUG